rnacentral:rRNA from 2 species
CACGCCCUAAACGAUGUACACUAGUUGUUGUGAGGCUCGACCUUGCAGUAAUGCAGUUAACACAUUAAGUGUACCGCCUGGGGAGUACGGUCGCAAGAUUAAAACUCAAAGGAAUAGACGGGGACCCGCACAAGCGGUGGAGCAUGUGGUUUAAUUCGACGAUACACGAAGAACCUUACCUGGACUUGACAUAGUAAGAACUUUCUAGAGAUAGAUUGGUGUCUGCUUGCAGAAACUUAUAUACAGGUGC